GUAAAAAAAAAGACAUGUAUGUAAAAUAUACAUAGAUUUUUAGUAGUUAUACUACGUAAAGUUCAAAUAAAAGAGUGAUAAUGACAAUUUUUUAUUAUAGUCUUGGCAAAUGCUCGUGCCAGCAGUCGCGGCAAUACGGGUAAGACAAGUGUUAUUCAUAUUUAAAAGGUUUAAAGGGUACCUAGACGGUAUAUUUAGCCUAUAAUAUAGGUACUAAUAUUACUAGAGUUUUAUAUAAGAGGUAUUUUUAGUACCAAUGGAGUAAAGAUAGAAUUUUAAGAUACUAUUGGGACUGGUAAUGGCAAAAGCAUGCCUCUAUGUAAAAACUGACGUUGAGGGACGAAGGCUUGGGGAGCGAUUAGGAUUAGAUACCCUAGUAGUCCAAGCAGUAAAAAAUGAAUGCCAUAGGUUAGAAUAUUUUAAUCUAUAAAUGAAAGUGUAAGCAUUCCACCUCAAGAGUAGCGUGGCAACGCCGAAACUGAAAUCAUUAGACCGUUUCUGAGAACAGUAGUGAAGUAUGUUGUUUAAUUCGAUGAUCCGCGAAAAAUCUUACCACAGCUUGAAUAUUAUAAUAAUUAUGUAAAUAUACUAUUAAUUAUUUGUAAUACAGGUGUUGCACGGCUGUCUUUAGUUAAUGUUGUGAGAUAUAGGUUAGCUCCGUUAAAUUGACAAAAACCCUUAC
rnacentral:rRNA from 1 species